rnacentral:rRNA from 1 species
UGCAAGUCGAACGAGCGAGAGAGAGCUUGCUUUCUCGAGCGAGUGGCGAACGGGUGAGUAACGCGUGAGGAACCUGCCUCAAAGAGGGGGACAACAGUUGGAAACGACUGCUAAUACCGCAUAAGCCCACGGUGCCGCAUGGCACAGAGGGAAAAGGAGUAAUCCGCUUUGAGAUGGCCUCGCGUCCAAUUAGCUAGUUGGUGAGGUAACGGCCCACCAAGGCGACGAUCGGUAGCCGGACUGAGAGGUUGAACGGCCACAUUGGGACUGAGACACGGCCCAGACUCCUACGGGAGGCAGCAGUGGGGAAUAUUGCACAAUGGGGGAAACCCUGAUGCAGCGACGCCGCGUGGAGGAAGAAGGUCUUCGGAUUGUAAACUCCUGUUGUUGGGGAAGAUAAUGACGGUACCCAACAAGGAAGUGACGGCUAACUACGUGCCAGCAGCCGCGGUAAAACGUAGGUCACAAGCGUUGUCCGGAAUUACUGGGUGUAAAGGGAGCGCAGGCGGGAAGACAAGUUGGAAGUGAAAUCUAUGGGCUCAACCCAUAAACUGCUUUCAAAACUGUUUUUCUUGAGUAGUGCAGAGGUAGGCGGAAUUCCCGGUGUAGCGGUGGAAUGCGUAGAUAUCGGGAGGAACACCAGUGGCGAAGGCGGCCUACUGGGCACCAACUGACGCUGAGGCUCGAAAGUGUGGGUAGCAAACAGGAUUAGAUACCCUGGUAGUCCACACCGUAAACGAUGAUUACUAGGUGUUGGAGGAUUGACCCCUUCAGUGCCGCAGUUAACACAAUAAG